AGAAGGAGAGGGCAGCUGGUGGAUCCCUGGCUUCUGGCUGGGCUGAUCCAGGAGGUUUCUUCUUAGGAGACCCCUUGUAUCUGGGUUGGAGGAGACUAAAGCAGGCCUCUUAGCUGUCCCCACAUACCCUAACCCCAUAGGAAAUGCCAGUUCGGCUAGGAGGGGCCCCCUGGCUUCACCACACACCCCCCUACACUUCCCCAGGCAGGCUGCCCAGGCCAGGAUGUGGAUGGGAACUGUCAACAGACACUCUUUAAAUAUUUACCCACACUUUCUCUGGGGGGCUUCCCCCAUCCCCAAGACUGGGUAAAUUCAAGUUAAUUCUAAUGGAUAAAGGAACCUUAUUCCAUCAGCACCCUUUCCUGGCCACAAACAUGUACAGUUAUGUGGACUUAACCCAGACAGAGAGAAAAGGGAGAAAGUCAGAGAGCUGUGGAUAUGUGUGCUGUGUGCAGGUGAAUGAAGAAGAGCAAUAAGAAUGAUUUUUCCGGUCCUCCCCCUCCACAGUGUGUGAGGUUGUCAUACACAGGGCAACGCGGGGCCAUACUGGGGAUCCACACAUACUGUAUGUGCUGCCUUCCAUUCUGAAAAACAUCAAAUGCAUGCUCACUCAGCUAUCACGCAUGCCGGGAAGCACCCCAUCACCUCACAGACCCUGAGCACACACAUGCACAUCCAGGCACAUAUGAAAAUAAGACCUGAUAAACACACAUGCAUCUUUAGCUCUUUGCAUCAUGAAAAAAAAGGCUACCUAUUUUCCUUCCACAUCCUGGGGUUUCAGGGUUGGAUGAGGAAGGAGGCAGUUAGAAAACCAGAUCUUUUUCUUCCCCAUCCAGAGCCCAGCUCUGGGGAUGGAGGAAGAAAUGAAAGUGCAGGGGAGGAUGGUGUAGAGAGAAUGAGCUUCCCCCUUUUGUAUCUAAAUAAUUGCUGAGGAAAUGGCCACUCUCAGCCAAAUUCCCAAAGGAGAGUCACUGGUGGCCCAGCAAGAGACGCUUCCAGGAUCCCCUGAAUUUGGAAGAACCUACCCCUGUCUGACUUAGGGACAGCCCAAACUCUGUGACACCCAGAACUCUGGCCCUGGAGCAGCAGGAGGGGAGGGUCAGCGGAGGGCCGUGUCAGGGCUGCAGACCUCCCCAGGAUCCAGGGCAGUAGAGGGCAUGACAGAGGUCUCCUCCACAACCAGAGCGCGCUGCAGCCUUGGUUCUGGCCCUGGCUUUUCUGAGCCUGUUCUGUGGCUACUGAGCUGAAGGAGACAGACUCUGGGCUCCCAGCUUCUAGGUCACUAGGGACUGUCAUAAAUACUUUCUCUUCCCCUCCUGGAAAGAGGAGGCUGGGCAGGCCGGAUCCGCUCUGGGGCCUGUGCCUUAUCUUUUAGGGGCUGGGGGGAUAUCUCGACACUUUAUGGUCCAGCGAAAACCCUGCCACAGAGCUAUUCUUCUGGGCCUUUGUGUCCUGGAAUGCGACUGUCCCGAGUGUGCUGCCAGCACCGUCUGCUCCGAGAGCCCACCAGUCCCGAAAUCCCUGGUUGGACUUGGUUUCCCCUUUCGGGGUGGAGGGGGGCGCGUCCCUCGCCUUUUCUUUCUUAAGUUCAUUUGAUUUUUUUUUUCUUUUACACGUAUCUGGUUGAUUUUGCUCCGGGAGCCUGGAAAUAAAGGAACAGCAAGCAGCCAUCCUUGCUGGGGCGUCUCUGUCCCUCGCCCCCCAUCCUUGCUGGGGCGUCUCUGUCCCUCGCCCCGAGGCCUGCACCGCCCUCCUAGCGAUUAUUUUCGGCGCCCGCCCUCCUGAGAUUCCCGAGUCUGCUGCCAGAGCGAGAGGGCCCAUCUCCCGCCGCCACUCGCGAUUUAUUUACACCUCAGAGACACUGUGCAAAGGAACUGCCGCGAUUUCCCCCGCGUUCAGGCGCAUUUCUGGCCUCGGAACACCUCCGCGCACGCAGAUGCACGCCCCCAAGCUCCCGCGACCGCCUGCCCGCGGCGCGCACCCUAAACUCCUCGCUCCUCUUACUCUGCCGCUGGUCCACACCGCCUAUUCCGCUAACGCCUGCAGGACUUUGGGGUGGGAUUCUGACUUCUCCCGGCUCUUUGCCCCCUGGUUUGUAGCCCAUCCCUCUCUCUCACGCGCGCGCUCUCUCCACCUCUCCCUCCCAGCCAGUGAGGUCCUGUUCUCCGUGGACCAUAGACAAAACAUUCCUAUAAUCCGAUUUCAAAGGAAAGAGUGUCCACCUUAUUUAACCCAUAAAACAAUUAAGCCCAGACGUCUAGCCAGCUCCGCGCUGCUGUUUUGUUCGGCCCCAUUCAGAAUCCAGCGCAGGGAGACAAACAGCGCCAUAAAAGAGGCAUUUCGGGGCCGCGGAAAUGUACCUAUCCUCCGCCUUCCCAAGUGGAACAACCUUUAGGGUUUUGUGAUUCUCACAAAGGAGCAGAGGAGAGGUGGGAGGAGAAGAUUAGGGCAGGGGGGCGUUUGCAAGCCCCUCUUUCCUCCCCAGCUUUCGU